rnacentral:rRNA from 1 species
UACAGAGGGGGCAAGCGUUAUUCGGAAUUAUUGGGCGUAAAGGGCGCGUAGGCGGCCUGGCAAGUGGAAGGUGAAAUCCCUCGGCUUAACCGAGGAACUGCCUCCCAAACUGCUUGGCUUGAGACCGGGAGAGGUGAGUGGAAUUCCCAGUGUAGCGGUGAAAUGCGUAGAUAUUGGGAGGAACACCAGUGGCGAAGGCGGCUCACUGGACCGGUACUGACGCUGAGGCGCGAAGGCUAGGGGAGCGAACGGG